GUCACCCUGCAGUGUUCGCGGAUGCCAUAUAUUCCUUGAACCAUUUGUAUGCAACGGUCGCGGAAAUUUGUUUGAUGGGAGUGAGCGUCGCUAGCCCGAUGAACCCGAAAUUGAACUAACUGUGACCACCUGAGCCACCAGGUUCGGGAUGCCGGCAUAGCGGCACAGGCGGGGCUUCA
rfam:Massilia sp. Root351 contig_5, whole genome shotgun sequence.